AGCGAACGCUGGCGGCAGGCUUAACACAUGCAAGUCGAACGCCCCGCAAGGGGAGUGGCAGACGGGUGAGUAACACGUGGGAACGUACCCUUUGGUUCGGACUAACUUGGGGAAACUCACGCUAAUACCGGAUAAGCCCUUGUGGGGAAAGGUUUACUGCCGAAGGAUCGGCCAGCGUCUGAUUAGCUAGUUGGUGAGGUAAUAGCGCACCAAGGCGACGAUCAGUAGCUGGUCUGAGAGGAUGAUCAGCCACACUGGGACUGAGACACGGCCCAGACUCCUACGGGAGGCAGCAGUGGGGAAUAUUGGACAAUGGGUGCAACCCUGAUCCAGCCAUGCCGCGUGAGUGAUGAAGGCCUUAGGGUUGUAAAGCUCUUUUACCCGGGACGAUAAUGACUGUACCGGGAGAAUAAGCCCCGGCUAACUUCGUGCCAGCAGCCGCAGUAA
rnacentral:rRNA from 1 species